AAGUUGUGCUCAGCAAGCGGCAGGCUAGGACUUGGCUGCCAGAGGAGGAUCCUUCAGGAGCAAGCUGUUUACAUGCUAAUGUGUCUCCACAAUGAUUGAUUGGUUUACACACACUGGGUGAAAUGUCCCAGCAUCUCUCUGAUUUCAAGGCCUGCUUUUAUUAUAGUCACCCACGUACAACACAAACUCAAAACACAUACACACACACACACACACACACACACACACACACACACACACACACACAUGCAUUUACCUUGCACACUUACAUAAUACAAGCACAUAAACUGUAAUGCAGACGUACGCUUACAGAGGGUAAUAUUUUGUUGUGCUGUAAAGCACAGUGUUUAAAGGGGAAGUUCAGCCAAAAAUACUUCUGGGCCCUUUAAAACACUUUCCUGGCUGUUUGUCAGUACCCCCAGACAGUUCUUACGUCCAUUGCUUGAGUAUUGAGAUUUCUGUAUUUUUAUAUAAAAAUGACCUAAAAUGCAUUACCUAACAUGUAUUAAAAACGUGUAUUUAUUGUUACAUCAACAACGAUUGGUGUCUAAGCACAUUGAAUAACCAAAUAAAUGUGGCAUUCCAUAUAGUCUGUGAUCUGGUAGAUACUCUUCUUCCUGGUUCUAAAAUAGAUCAUUACAGAGGGUGGGACAAAGCAGCAUCUUACGAUUGGUCUUCAAGAAAAUAAAUCAGAAUGAAAGGAAGUAAACAAAGAGAUGGUGGCUAGCUAGGCUAGCGGUUAGUAAUCUCUAAAGUAAAGUAAGGCAAAUAACGUCAGUAGUAGAGUAGCUGAGUAAUGUUGGCAUUGUAUCCGGGUGCAAUAAUGUUCCGGUCAGAUAAAAAUACACUACACAUUUCCACUCUUUUCCUGACCGCGAGGGAGUUUUGUGUCAGGCAUGGCUGCAGGCCAUCUACAUCCUGCUUAUGGUGUCGAUACGAUGCCUGAAGUCAUUCAUCAGCUGCGGUUGACUGUGUCCAGUGAUCACUUUGUGGUCACUGACUAUAAGGGGGACAGGUUGAAACAGGGUUCUGUUCCCACUGUCUUUCCACCAUGGACGGGAAAGCUCCAACCUUUCAAGAGAUCCGAGAAGCCGUGUGGAGUAUUCCAAACAGGCCAACCUCCCAACAUCACCCAACAAAAACCAACCUAGGAGUAGCUGGUGGCAAAACUUUUCAGCCUAACUUUGGAACUACACUGAACAAAAAUAUAAAUGCAACAUGUAAAGUGCUGGUCACAUGUUUCAUGAGCUGAAAUAAAAAAUAUUUUCCAUACAUACAAAAAGUUGAUUUCUCUCAAAUUUUGUGCGCAAAUUUGUUUUACAUCCCUGUUAGUGGGCGUUUCUCCUUUGCCAAGAUAAUCCAUCCACCUGACAGGUGUGGCACAUCAAGAAGCUCAUUAAACAGCAUGAUCAUUACACAGGUGCACCUUGUGUUGGGGGCAAUAAAAGGCCACUUUAAAAUGUGCAGUUUUGUCACACAACACAAUGCCACAGAUGUCUCAAGUUUUGAGGGAGUGUGCAAUUGGCCUGCUGACUGCAGUAAUGUCCAACAGAGCUGUUACUAGAGAAUUUAAUGUUAAUUUCUCUACCAUAAGCUGCCUCCAACGUCGUUUUACACAAUUUGGCAGUACGUCCAACCGGCAUCACAACCGCAGACCACAGCAGCCCAGAAGCUCCACAUCUGGCUUUUUCACCUGCGGGAUCGUCUGGUG
rnacentral:lncRNA from 13 species